AGAAUCAACGCUGGCGGCGUGCCUAACACAUGCAAGUCGCACGAGAAAGGGACUUCGGUCCUGAGGUACAGUGGCGCACGGGUGAGUAACACGUGAAUAAUCUACCUCCGAGUGGGGAAUAACUGAGAGAAAUCUUAGCUAAUACCGCAUAACACUUACGAGUCAAAGCAGCAAUGCGCUUGGAGAGGAGUUUCGCGGCAGAUUAGUUAGUUGGCGGGGUAAUGGCCCACAAGACGAUGAUCU
rnacentral:rRNA from 1 species